GAUGCUCUAAUAUAUCUCAAGUAAAGAAUAAUAUCAUUAUUGUGUACUACGUGUUCAUUCCUCGUUCUUUUAGAUACAUUUUUUAACUGAAACAAAUUAAUUAUCAAGCGAGACCCAAAAUAGCGGCCCAAUUACUUCCAUGCUCUUCCCUCCGUCUCCAACUCGGUUCUUGUCGCUGUGUUUUAAAAGCUCAACCUUGUCAGAAGCAUACAGCAAUUUGCGGAAGAAGAUGGUAGUUUGCUUUCCCUCCACCCCCAAGAGGUUGGCAAUGACGGUUGGGUGUUUCGUUUCUGCUGCUGCUCUUUUCGGGUUCGGUGCGCAUCUCUCGUAUGUCAACGUUGCCCCUCAACAAGCUCGAACCAAAGCUCGAAAUGAAUUUGUGAGAGAGCGGCUGAAACAGAAGUACGGCAGCAAAUGAUACAACACGCAUGGUUUCCAGAUAUCAGUUCGGUUUUCGGAUCGUAUCCUGGUAGGGGUGGGACAAGUUUGAGGUGUGAAUUUAUGAUCCAUCCCUUGUGGGAACUCUUUCAGGGAUGAACAUCCAACUGUUUUUGUGGUUGUUUUGGUUUUUCGUUUGCUCAACAUUUGUAUGUAUCAGUAUUACAAGUUAUAACAGGGAUGAAUACGCCAACUCUCAUAACCGAAGAAAAUGGAAGUGCAGAACUGGAUUUAGCCAGUUGGCUGGA